rnacentral:rRNA from 1 species
CCUACGGGCGGCAGCAGUGGGGAAUAUUGCACAAUGGGCGCAAGCCUGAUGCAGCCAUGGCGCGUGUGUGAAGAAGGCCUUCGGGUUGUAAAGCACUUUCAGCGGGGAGGAAGGCGUUAAGGUUAAUAACCUUGGCGAUUGACGUUACCCGCAGAAGAAGCACCGGCUAACUCCGUGCCAGCAGCCGCGGUAAUACGGAGGGUGCAAGCGUUAAUCGGAAUUACUGGGCGUAAAGCGCACGCAGGCGGUCUGUCAAGUCGGAUGUGAAAUCCCCGGGCUCAACCUGGGAACUGCAUUCGAAACUGGCAGGCUAGAGUCUUGUAGAGGGGGGUAGAAUUCCAGGUGUAGCGGUGAAAUGCGUAGAGAUCUGGAGGAAUACCGGUGGCGAAGGCGGCCCCCUGGACAAAGACUGACGCUCAGGUGCGAAAGCGUGGGGAGCAAACAGGAUUAGAUACCCGGGUAGUC